UUCAGCCUCGGGAUUUAUACUCGGCUCGACACGGAUAUGUGAAGAAUGAAGGGACCCUGCAGCGAAACGGAGAGCCCAACCUCUGACUGAGUGCCCGUUUACUCAGUCUGACCACCUGUUGAAGGGCUGUUUGAUGACGAUUUGGACUCCUCUGGGAGAUGAGGACACACCCACAUCUGUUCCAUACUGCAGCCAUGGAUGGUGUUACGGCUCUGAGUCAGCUUUGGGCCAUCAGACGCACACACUGGAAAACCAGCACCUGGACUUCAUGCAGGAGAGACGGCUUCAGUGAUAAUUCAUCAGCAGCUGUGAAGAGAUGUAUUUGAAUAUCUUCUGGUUCCACUUUUCUUAACCUGGAAUCUGAGGAUGGCUGAUUCCUGACAAGGACACACACCUCAGCGCUUAUCAUGGGUGUUACAUCCUCUGUGCCGCAAUUCCAGAGAAAACGAGAGAGCAACGACCACUCAUUAAGACCAGACAGAAAUCUGUCC